rnacentral:rRNA from 1 species
UACGGGGGGGGCAAGCGUUGUUCGGAAUUACUGGGCGUAAAGAGCUCGUAGGCGGUUUGUUGCGUCGGCUGUGAAAUCCCGAGGCUCAACCUCGGGUCUGCAGUCGAUACGAGCAAACUAGAGUGUUGCAGGGGAGACUGGAAUUCCUGGUGUAGCGGUGAAAUGCGCAGAUAUCAGGAGGAACACCGAUGGCGAAGGCAGGUCUCUGGGCCAUAACUGACGCUGAGAAGCGAAAGCAUGGGGAGCGAACAGG